GAAGUGCCUAUGAUGGCUUUAAAUAUACUUUUGAGUUAUAACUACGAAAAAAAAUAUAUGAUCAGAGGCACGUC